AUACGGAGGAUGCAAGCGUUAUCCGGAUUUAUUGGGUUUAAAGGGUGCGUAGGCGGGACUGUAAGUCAGGGGUGAAAUACUGCAGCUUAACUGUAGCAUUGCCUUUGAAACUGCCGUUCUUGAGUACAGUUGAGGUAGGCGGAAUGUGGGGUGUAGCGGUGAAAUGCAUAGAUAUACCACAGAACGCCGAUUGCGAAGGCAGCUUACUAAGCUGUUACUGACGCUGAGGCACGAAAGCGUGGGGAUCAAACAGGAUUAGAUACCCUGGUAGUCCACGCUGUAAACGAUGAUUACUGGUUGUUAGCGAUAUAUAGCUAGUGACUGAGCGAAAGCAUUAAGUAAUCCACCUGGGGAGUACGUCGGCAACGAUGAAACUCAAAUGAAUUGGCGGGG
rnacentral:rRNA from 1 species